GGUGCAAGCGUUGUCCGGAAUUACUGGGCGUAAAGAGCUCGUAGGUGGUUUGUCACGUCGUCUGUGAAAUCCACAGCUUAACUGUGGGCGUGCAGGCGAUACGGGCUGACUUGAGUACUGUAGGGGUAACUGGAAUUCCUGGUGUAGCGGUGAAAUGCGCAGAUAUCAGGAGGAACACCGAUGGCGAAGGCAGGUUACUGGGCAGUCACUGACGCUGAGGAGCGAAAGCAUGGGUAGCAAACAGGAUUAGAUACCCUGGUAGUCAAGGGCGAAUUCGUU
rnacentral:rRNA from 1 species